UACGGAGGGUGCAAGCGUUAUCCGGAUUCACUGGGCUUAAAGGGUGCGUAGGCGGGCAGGUAAGUCAGUGGUGAAAUCUCUGGGCUUAACCCGGAAACUGCCGUUGAUACUAUCUGUCUUGAAUAUAGUGGAGGUGAGCGGAAUAUGUCAUGUAGCGGUGAAAUGCUUAGAUAUGACAUAGAACAUCGAUUGCGAAGGCAGCUCGCUGCACUAUGAUUGACACUGAGGCACGAAAGCGUGGGGAGCAAACAGG
rnacentral:rRNA from 1 species